ACUCCUACGGGAGGCAGCAGUGGGGGAAUAUUGCACAAUGGGCGCAAGCCUGAUGCAGCCAUGCCGCGUGUAUGAAGAAGGCCUUCGGGUUGUAAAGUACUUUCAGCAGUGAGGAAGGUGGGUAUGUUAAUAGCAUAUUCAUUUGACGUUAGCUGCAGAAGAAGCACCGGCUAACUCCGUGCCAGCAGCCGCGGUAAUACGGAGGGUGCGAGCGUUAAUCGGAAUUACUGGGCGUAAAGCGCAUGCAGGUGGUUUGUUAAGUCAGAUGUGAAAGCCCGGGGCUCAACCUCGGAAUUGCAUUUGAAACUGGCAAACUAGAGUACUGUAGAGGGGGGUAGAAUUUCAGGUGUAGCGGUGAAAUGCGUAGAGAUCUGAAGGAAUACCGGUGGCGAAGGCGGCCCCCUGGACAGAUACUGACACUCAGAUGCGAAAGCGUGGGGAGCAAACAGGAUUAGAUACCCUGGUAGGCUCU
rnacentral:rRNA from 1 species